rnacentral:rRNA from 1 species
CCUAGGGGAGGCAGCAGUAGGGAAUAUUGGUCAAUGGGUGCGAGCCUGGACCAGCCAUGCCGCGUGCAGGAAGAAGGCCUUCUGGGUUGUACACCGCUUUUACCAGGGGAUAAAAACGUUUUGCGAAACGGAUUGAAGGUACCUGGGGAAUAAGCCACGGCUAACUACGUGCCAGCAGCCGCGGUAAU